CAGCAGCCACGGUAAUACGAGGGGGGCAAGCGUUGUUCGGAAUUAUUGGGCGUAAAGGGUGCGUAGGCGGUUUGGCAAGUUUGGUGUGAAAUCUUCGGGCUCAACUCGAAGUCUGCAUCGAAAACUGCCGGGCUUGAGUAUGGGAGAGGUGAGUGGAAUUUCCGGUGUAGCGGUGAAAUGCGUAGAUAUCGGAAGGAACACCUGUGGCGAAAGCGGCUCACUGGACCAUAACUGACGCUGAUGCACGAAAGCUAGGGGAGCAAACAGGAUUAGAUACCCGGGUAGUCCCUGUCUCUUAUAC
rnacentral:rRNA from 1 species